CAACUCCUACGGGGCGCAGCAGUAGGGAAUUUUCGUCAAUGGGCGCAAGCCUGAACGAGCAAUGCCGCGUGAACGAGGAAGGUCUUCGGAUCGUAAAGUUCUGUUGAAGGGGAAAAAGAGCGGAGAGAGGAAAUGAACUCCGAUUGAUAUUACCCUUCGAGGAAGUCACGGCUAACUACGUGCUAGCAGCCGCGGUAAUACGUAGGUGGCGAGCGUUAUCCGGAAUGAUUGGGCGUAAAGGGUGCGUAGGCGGCCUGCUAAGUCUGGAGUGAAAGGUACCGGCUCAACCUGUACA
rnacentral:rRNA from 1 species